UAAAAAUAUUUUAUUUUGCUUUUAAAAGGUAUUUUUUUUUGGAUUCAUCCACAAAAUUGCAAGCUUGAUUGUUAGUCUAUUAACUAUAGAUUCUUUAAAAUAUUUUUAAAAAAACAGAAACCUAUAAAAAAUCAGCAAAAGUUCACAAAAAUGGAGUUGUGUAAGAAUGUAUUUAAUGAGUAUCAGUAUCAUAUUGAUUUAUUAAGGUCUACUUCUAUAUACCUGGAUAUGCUGUAUGCAAGCAUAGUUGUAUGCCAUGUUGCUAUUUAACUUUAGACAACUCACUUGACUCCUGAAAAAUUUACCAUCUUCGAAAAGGUUUUCGAACUGAUAAUAGUGUAUAUGAAAUGGUGGUUUCAUCUAUAAACCAAGAUAAUUUUCUGCUGUUACACCCGUUAUUGCUGUUGUAAGUACUCAAAAUUUGAGGAAGUUUUGUUGCUGUAAGUUAUUUUCAUUCAAAUUUAAAUUUCAACUUUAUUAAAGAAUCUUCUGUCUGUUAAUUAGGUAAUUCUGAAUGAUUCAGAUAGAUUUCAAUACCCUUACGCAGUAGUUUACUAAUCGGUUUGUAAAUAAAGUAAUAGUUUUAAACAGAUGAAUUAAUUGGAUUCCAUGAUCUAUUAUGCAUAUUUGUGUGGAGUUUCUAUAAUAUAACCUGAAAUUUUAUUCUCAAAGACUAGGUAAAUAAGUAAAACCACUUCAGUCUGUAAAAUUAACGAUUCUGGAUAAUUUCGACAGAUACAAAAAAAAUUAUGGUAUUUAAUUUUCUUAUAGCUUUGUAUCCCUAUGGAAAAUUUCAAGUCAAAUGUAAUAACGAUUCAAAAUAUCAAAAAUUAAAAAAAAAAAUUACAAAUUAUUUAAAGUUGAUAUGUUUAAUUGGCAGGC